CGGGUUGUAAAGUACUUUCAGCAGUGAGGAAGGUGGGUAUGUUAAUAGCAUAUUCAUUUUGACGUUUAGCUGCAGAAGAAGCACCGGCUAACUCCGUGCCAGCAGCCGCGGUAAUACGGAGGGUGCGAGCGUUAAUCGGAAUUACUGGGCGUAAAAGCGCAUGCAGGUGGUUUGUUAAGUCAGAUGUGAAAAGCCCGGGGCUCAACCUCGGAAUUGCAUUUGAAACUGGCAAACUAGAGUACUGUAGAGGGGGUAGAAUUUCAGGUGUAGCGGUGAAAAUGCGUAGAGAUCUGAAGGAAUACCGGUGGCGAAGGCGGCCCCCUGGACAGAUACUGACACUCAGAUGCGAAAGCGUGGGGAGCAAACAGGAUUAGAUACCCUGGUAG
rnacentral:rRNA from 1 species